rnacentral:rRNA from 1 species
UUGACCUCGGAUCAGGUAGGAAUACCCGCUGAACUUAAGCAUAUCAAAAGGCGGAGGAAAUAAGCGGAGGAACGUAACCUUGCGAACCC